AUUCCCAUUUUAGUACCGCUGUUUCGCUCUACAGAAUUAGUGGCUAUGCUAAUGGGAUAGAGCAAUCUCUGCCAUCGUCUGAAGGGAAAGAUGUUGCAUCCAUUUUUCUCUAUAUGAAUUGUCAGGAUAAUUCUUA